rnacentral:ncRNA from 1 species
UACAAUAAUAAUAAAAGCAUUAAGUGGAUGCCUUGGCAUUAAUUUUAUUUUUAGGACGUAAAAAAUGCGAAAAGCUAUAUUAAAUAAUAAUAUAUUUUGAAAUAUAGAUUUCCUAGAGAAAACUUUUUCUUUGUGAAAAUUUUAAAAGCAGUGAAUUGAAAUAUCUAAGUAACUGUUAAAAAAAUCAAACGAGAUUCCGUGAGUAAUGACGAGUGAAAAUGGAAAAUAGGUUUAUAAAAAUAAAUAAAAUUUAUUCGAAUAAUUUUAAAAAAUUAACGUAAAAAGGUUAAAGUCCUGUAGAAUAAUUUAUAUUUUUAUAAUAGUAAAAAGAGGUAUGUGUAAUCUUUUUUGAAUAUUGGGGAACCACCCUCAAAACCUAGUAAAAAUUAAUGAUCGAUAGUGUACAAGUACUGUAAAGGAAAGGUGAAAAAGAACUUUUGAGUUUGAAAUAAUUCUGAAACUUAAUGUUAACAAUCAAUUGGAACUUUUUAUUAAAGUGACAGUGUACCUUUUGCAUAAUGGGCCAGCAAGUUUAUUUUUAUAGCAAGCUUAAUUUUUUAAAGUACGGCGCAGAUAAAUCAAGUUUUAAAAAGCAAUAUAGUUAUAAAAAUAAGACCCGAAACCGAGUGAUCUAACCAUGAACAGAUUGAAAAUAGUAAACUAUUUGGAGGAUCGAACUCACAUGUGUGGCAAAACAUGGAGAUGAUUUGUGGUUAGGAGUGAAAGGCUAAGUCAAACUCGGAGAUAGCUGGUUUUCCGCGAAAUCUAUUGAAGUAGAGCAUUUAAAAUCUUUUUUUGGGGUAGAGCACUCAUUGAGCUAGGGGG